rnacentral:rRNA from 1 species
AGACGGUGGCUCAACCAUCGCAGUGCCUUUGAUACUGACGGGCUUGAAUGCAGCUGAGGUAGGCGGAAUGUGACAAGUAGCGGUGAAAUGCAUAGAUAUGUCACAGAACACCAAUUGCGAAGGCAGCUUACUAAAGUGUGAUUGACGCUGAGGCACGAAAGCGUGGGGAUCAAACAGGAUUAGAUACCCUGGUAGUCCACGCCCUAAACGAUGAAUACUCGAUGUUAGCGAUAUACUGUUAGCGUCCAAGCGAAAGCGUUAAGUAUUCCACCUGGGGAGUACGCCCGCAAGGGUGAAACUCAAAGGAAUUGACGGGGGCCCGCACAAGCGGAGGAGCAUGUGGUUUAAUUCGAUGAUACGCGAGGAACCUUACCCGGGCUUGAAAGUUAGUGAAUGAUCCAGAGACGGAUCAGUCCUUCGGGACACGAAACUAGGUGCUGCAUGGCUGUCGUCAGCUCGUGCCGUGAGGUGUUGGGUUAAGUCCCGCAACGAGCGCAACCCCUAUGUUUAGUUGCCAGCACAUUAUGGUGGGGACUCUAAACAGACUGCCUGUGCAAACAGAGAGGAAGGAGGGGACGACGUCAAGUCAUCAUGGCCCUUACGUCCGGGGCUACACACGUGCUACAAUGGAUGGUACAGCGGGCAGCUACCUGGCAACAGGAUGCCAAUCUCGUAAAGCCAUUCACAGUUCGGAUCGGGGUCUGCAACUCGACCCCGUGAAGUUGGAUUCGCUAGUAAUCGCGUAUCAGCAAUGACGCGGUGAAUACGUUCCCGGGCCUUGUACACACCGCCCGUCAAGCCAUGGAAGCUGGGGGUACCUGAAGUACGUAACCGCAAGGAGCUCCUA